rnacentral:rRNA from 1 species
GACAACCUACUUGGAUAACUGUGGUAAUUCUAGAGCUAAUACAUGCACCAAAGCUCCGAUCCUCGCGGAGAGGAGCGCAUUUGUUCGCCACAAAACCAAGCGCCCAUCUGGGCGUCCAGUGCUGAACCAGAACAACUCAGCUGAUCGCACGGUCUUGUACCGGCGACGUGUCUUUCAAGUGUCUGCCUUAUCAACUUUCGAUGGUAGUGUACCUGACUACCAUGGUUGUGACGGGUAACGGAGGAUAAGGGUUCGACUCCGGAGAAGGGGCCUGAGAAAUGGCCACUACGUCUAAGGAUGGCAGCAGGCGCGCAAAUUACCCACUCUCAACGCGAGGAGGUAGUGACGAGAAAUAACGAGACCGUUCUCAUACGAGGCCGGUUAUUGGAAUGGGUACAAUUUAAA